CCUACGGGGGGCUGCAGUCGAGAAUCAUUCACAAUGGGGGAAACCCUGAUGGUGCGACGCCGCGUGGGGGAAUGAAGGUCUUCGGAUUGUAAACCCCUGUCAUGUGGGAGCAAAUUAAAAAGAUAGUACCACAAGAGGAAGAGACGGCUAACUCUGUGCCAGCAGCCGCGGUAAUACAGAGGUCUCAAGCGUUGUUCGGAAUCACUGGGCGUAACGCGUGCGUAGGCGGUUUCGUAAGUCGUGUGUGAAAGGCGCGGGCUCAACCCGCGGACGGCACAUGAUACUGCGAGACUAGAGUAAUGGAGGGGGAACCGGAAUUCUCGGUGUAGCAGUGAAAUGCGUAGAUAUCGAGAGGAACACUCGUGGCGAAGGCGGGUUCCUGGACAUUAACUGACGCUGAGGCACGAAGGCCAGGGGAGCGAAAGGGAUUAGAUACCCCGGUAGUC
rnacentral:rRNA from 1 species